CGGCUGAGGCCAAGGAGGAGGAGGCGGCUGCGGGGGAGGAGGAGGACAAGGCCAAGGGCGAGGCCGAGCGCCGGGGGCUGAAGCGGCUCCGGGACGAGAAGGACGAGCACGGCCGGGCCUGGCACGAGUUCCGUGAGGAGGCCUACAACAGCCGAUCCAAAUCUCCGCCGCCGCCCGAGGAGGAGCCGCCCGAGGGGGAGGAGGACGAGACCCUGGUGAUCCUGGACACCUGUGAGGGAAAUCUGGGAAUUUGGGGAAGGGCUGGGAGGAGCUGGGAGAUUCCUUUGGGAAUUUUUGCCAUUUCCCAAUCAUUUCUGGAAUUUGGGGCCGUUUUGGGGGCGAUUCCUUGGAAUUUGGGCAGAGAUUUUGAGGCCAUCUCGAGAUUUUUUUUUGGGGGGGAUUUUGGAAUUUCCUGGGAUGAUUUGGGGUGGGUUUGACUCCCCCCAAGGGUUUUGGGUAGAAAUUCAGGAAUUUUGGGAUUUGAGGUGACUUUGCCUCAAUUCCAGGCAGAAUUUGGGGAUAAUUUUGGUGAUUUCUGUGCUGAUUUCAGGGAUUUGGGGUGGGAACAGAGAAUUCCAAGUGGAUUUUAGGGCUCAUUUCAGGGAUUUUGGGAGAGAAUGAAGAAUUCCAGGUGGAUUUUAGGGAUCAUUUCAGGGAUUUUGGGAGAGAAUGAAGAAUUCCAGGUGGAUUUCAGGGAUCAUUUCAGGGAUUUGGGGAGGGAAUGCAGAAUUCCAAGUGGAUUUUAGGUAUCAUUUGAACCCUUUUGGGAUUUGAGCCGCCCCUGGUGCAUUUUUGGGCCAUUUUGACCCAUUUGUGCUGCUUUUGGAUCCGAGAUAUUUUUCCCUCAGUUCCAGGCAGAAUUUGGGGAUCAUUUUGGUGAUUUUUAUGCAGUGUCAGAGGUUUUGGAUCUGGGGAGGGAUCCAGGAAUUCCAGGUGGAUUUUGGGAGCGUUCAGGAUCUGACCCAUCCCAGGAGCAUUUCUGGGACCGUUCUCCCUGCGGGGCCCCGAUCC
rnacentral:lncRNA from 1 species